UGCAUCUUGCAGUGAAAGUGGAAGUUCGAGGGCGUUAGCAAGAAGUUCUUUUCCGGGAGACAAAGCGCAAAAGGGGGUUCAGUGGAGAAGAUCGACUGCUGCGUAAGGAAUGGCCCACAGAAGCCAGGAGCAGAGCCUUCGGGAGGAACUGACCUGUGCCAUAUGCUAUGAUCUGUUCCAGGACCCAGUCAUGCUGGAAUGCAUGCACCAUUUUUGUAGGGAGUGCAUCCAGAGCUAUUGGGACAGAAGCUCAAAAGUUGCCACCUGCCCCCAGUGUCGGCAAGAGUUCCCCACCCGGUCCUUCCGCUCCCAGUACCUUGUUUCUGGAGUAGUGGAGACAGUUCGGAGGUGCACCUCUGAGGAGCACAAGGAAAAAAUGCAGAAACAUCUCCAAGAGGCAUUUCAGUCUUACCAGGUAGAGUGUGAGAAACUGAUGGGGAUGAAGCAUGAAGCUGAGGAAAAUAUCUGCAGUCUGCUGAAAACAUCGGGUGAACUUAACUCCGGGAUCCGGGCAGAAUUUGAGUAUCUUCAUCGGAUCCUGGAAGAGGAGGAAAGAACUGUGCUGAUGGAGCUGGCCAGACAAGAGGAACAGUGGAUGAUGAGGCUGGAAGGAGAUGCUGCACGACUCGAGAUGGCAAUAUCUGAGUUAAAGAAGAACAUGGAGCACAUUCAGCAAAACCUUGACAAGCCAGGGAGCUUGUUACUGCUGGAGGUGGAAAAUGUGGCUAUUAGGCCUGCAGUGCAGGUGAAAGAGUUAACUGCCUUUAAUAUAGAGCAGCACAAGGACUUGUAUGAUGGACCUAUGCAGUAUGUAGUUUGGAGAAGGGUGCUGAAAUCCAUCUGCCCAGCUCCUGCUACUCUGACCUUGGACCCAGAAUCGGCUCAUCCUAACCUCAUCCUUUCCAAAGACCUGACUGCAGUGACAGAGAGAAAGAUGCCCCAGUCUGUGCCCAGAAGUCCCAGCCGUUUCCUGCAGUGUGUGAAUGUGCUAACAAAAGAGUCCUUUCAGAGUGGGAGGCAUUACUGGGAGGUCUGGGUGGGCACCAAGACCAAGUGGGAUCUGGGAGUGGCAGCAGACUCGGUGGACAGGGCAGCAAAAGUCAAACUGUGCCCAAAGAAUGGCUACUGGGCUAUACGACUGCGGGAGAAGUCUCAGUAUUGGGCUGCAGAUGCUCCCUGGGUGCACCUGAAUCCUGGAUGCUUGCUAAGAAAAGUGGGCAUCCUGUUGGACUGCAGGGCAAGGAAGGUGGCCUUUUAUAAUGCUGAGGACAUGUCCCAUCUCUUCACCUUCCACCAGGUUAGGGCACGCAGGUUCUACCCUUUCUUCAGCACUUGCUUCAGCGAUGGCGAGAAGAAUGCAGAGCCCAUGAGGAUCUGCCAUCUGAACGUGUAGGAAUGUUGCCGAACGUGUCGACAAGACCUGGCGGAACCCUCUUGUCUGCUGGGGUAGUGUAGAUUCCAUCCUGUGUCUCUCAGCUAUGAUUAACAAAAUAUUGACUGGUUUAGCAAAGUAACAAAAUAUUGACUGGUUUAGCAAAGAGAUUCCAAUUAUAUGUAUGUUUUUAAAACCUUUUUCUCAUAGGAACAAUGCAUGUCAAAUAAGCUUCGACCAAGCAGACACAUAAAACAAUAAAAAUAUAAUGGUCGUUUCUGCCAUCGGCGAAAGAUAGGAAUGGGCCCAAACCCCUGGGGUCAGUCACACACACAUGUAC